rnacentral:rRNA from 1 species
GAUGCAGUCGAGCGAACUGAUUAGAAGCUUGCUUCUAUGACGUUAGCGGCGGACGGGUGAGUAACACGUGGGCAACCUGCCUGUAAGACUGGGAUAACUCCGGGAAACCGGAGCUAAUACCGGAUAACAUUUUCUCUUGCAUAAGAGAAAAUUGAAAGAUGGUUUCGGCUAUCACUUACAGAUGGGCCCGCGGUGCAUUAGCUAGUUGGUGAGGUAACGGCUCACCAAGGCAACGAUGCAUAGCCGACCUGAGAGGGUGAUCGGCCACACUGGGACUGAGACACGGCCCAGACUCCUACGGGAGGCAGCAGUAGGGAAUCUUCCGCAAUGGACGAAAGUCUGACGGAGCAACGCCGCGUGAGUGAUGAAGGCUUUCGGGUCGUAAAACUCUGUUGUUAGGGAAGAACAAGUACAAGAGUAACUGCUUGUACCUUGACGGUACCUAGCCAGAAAGCCACGGCUAACUACGUGCCAGCAGCAGCAGUAAUACGUAGGUGGCAAG